rnacentral:rRNA from 1 species
AUUGAACGCUGGCGGCAGGCCUAACACAUGCAAGUCGAACGGUAACAGGAAGAAGCUUGCUUCUUUGCUGACGCGUGGCGGACGGGUGUGUAAUGUCUGGGAAACUGCCUGAUGGCGGGGGAUAACUCCUGGAAACGGUAGCUAAUACCGCAUAACGUCGCAACACCAAAAAGGAGGACCUUUGGGCCUCUUGCCAUCGGAUGUGCCCAGAUGGGAUUAGCUAGUAGGUGGGGUAACGGCUCACCUAGGCGACGAUCCCUAGCUGGUCUGAGAGGAUGACCAGCCACACUGGAACUGAGACACGGUCCAGACUCCUACGGGAGGCAGCAGUGGGGAAUAUUGCACAAUGGGCGCAAGCCUGAUGCAGCCAUGCCGCGUGGAUGAAGAAGGCCUUCGGGUUGUAAAGUACUUUCGGCGGGGAAGAAGAGAGUAAAGUUAAUACCUUUGCUUAUUGACGUUACCCACAGAAGAAGCACCGGCUAACUUCGUG